rnacentral:tRNA from 1 species
ACAAAAGCCAAGAUUUUGCCCAAAAUGCCCCCAG